rnacentral:rRNA from 1 species
GCUACGGGAGGCAGCAGUGAGGAAUAUUGGUCAAUGGACGAGAGUCUGAACCAGCCAAGUAGCGUGAAGGAUGACGGCCCUAUGGGUUGUAAACUUCUUUUAUAAAGGAAUAAAACGAGGCACGUGUGCCUUUUUGCAUGUACUUUAUGAAUAAGGAUCGGCUAACUCCGUGCCAGCAGCCGCGGUAAUACGGAGGAUCCGAGCGUUAUCCGGCUUUAUUGGGUUUAGAGGGAGCGUAGAUGGGUUGUUAAGUCAGUUGUGAAAGUUUGCGGCUCAACCGUAAAAUUGCCAUUGAUACUGGCAGUCUUGAGUACAGUUGAGGUAAGUGGAAUUCGUGGUGUAGCGGUGAAAUGCGUAGAUAUCACGAAGAACCCCGAUUGCGAAGGCAGCUUACUAAAAUGUGACUGACAUUGAUGCUCGAAAGUGUGGGUAUCAAACAGGAUUAGAUACCCUGGUAGUC